UCCGUAACACGUAGUUAAUCUACCCUUAGGACUGGAAUAACCCCGGGAAACUGGGGCUAAUACCUACUAGGCGAGAAUGUCUGGAAUGACUUUUCACUGAAAGAGUUCUAGGAACAUGCUCCUUUAACUGCCUAAGGAUGAGACUGCGACCGAUCAGGUUGUUGGUGGGGUAACGGCCUACCAAGCCUAUAACCGGUACGGGCCCUGAGAGGGGGAGCCCGGAGAUGGGAACUGAGACAAGGUCCCAGACCCUACGGGGUGCAGCAGUUGCGAAAACUCUACAAUGCACGAAAGUGUGAUAGGGUUAUCCCGAGUGCUGUCCGAUGAGGAUGGCUUUUCCUCGGUGUAAGGAGCCGAGGGAAUAAAGGGGGGGCAAGACUGGUGUCAGCCGCCGCGGUAAUACCAGCCCCCUGAGUGGUAGGGAUGAUUAUUUGGCCUAAAGCGUCCGUAGCCGGCUUAGCCAGUCUUUCGUGAAAUCCAGUGACUUAAUCAUUGGGCGUGCGAGAGAUACUACUAGGCGUGAGGACGGGAGAGGUCGACGGUAUUUCGGGGGU
rnacentral:rRNA from 1 species